rnacentral:rRNA from 1 species
UACAUGGGGUGCAAACGUUGCUCGGAAUUAUUGGGCGUAAAGCGCACGUAGGCGGUCCGUUAAGUCGGAUGUGAAAGCCCCCGGCUCAACCGGGGAAGUGCAUCCGAAACUGGCGGGCUAGAGUACGAAAGAGUGUCGCGAAAUUCCCGGUGUAGAGGUGAAAUUCGUAGAUAUCGGGAGGAACACCGGUGGCGAAGGCGGCGACCUGGGUCGAUACUGACGCUGAGACGCGAAAGCUAGGGGAGCAAACGGG